UGGGGACAGACUGGAAAACAACAAAAAUAUAAUUAUUUUAGUUCAAAGUUAUUGUGUCUUGAGUUGAAAGGCAGGACAGUUAGCAACACAGUUCAGAUUUCAGUACUGCCCCUGAAAUCUGAACUGUGUACAAAGUCUAAAACGUUUACCGUAGCAAAUUCCUCAUAAAACUCCAUUUGGAAGAGUCCCGAGAGCUAAUUUGUUAAGUAUACUUGCAGAAGGUAGAUGAGGAGACAGAUAAAAUCUUAUUACCUCUUUCAGAUGAGAGGCACUUGAGCCCUGCUCAGCUAUGAGAAUAAGAGAGGGGGAAUUAAUUCUAAUUGAAUACACUUGUUCUCUUAUAGCUGUUGUUCCCCACCAGAACCAAAUGAGCGCAAGAUCUGACAAAGAAAAAAAGAAGUUCAUCUUUUAUUCCCCCAAACCCUUUCAUUUAAAUCAAGAGGGUGGGAUGUGGUUAUUGCUGUGUUUUUAGGCAGAAUCAACGGUUUCUGGGUCUGAGAAGUUGCAUACACACUCUCAGUCCCUGUAUCCUGAGAUGGAGUCACCUGAGGAUCCACAGCAAGUCCUAACCAGGGAUGGGUCUGGGUGAUUAAGGAAGGUUGGCUUCAGAACUGGGCCAGAGGCACUGCUUUGCUUUUGCUGUUUUGAUCAGCUCUGUGCCUGCAUGAGACAAGGAAAAUCAAUGGGAACAGCCCAGUAAAGUCGCCAUUCCCCAUUUUACAGCUGGGGAAACUGAGUUACAGAGCUUUUCUGCACUGAGUCAUCAGGAGCAAAUGCUAGAUCAGAUAGAGUCUCUCUCUCUGCCACCCAGGCCAGAGUGCAGUUGACGCAGGGCAGGGGAGCCCCGAAGUGGAGCAUAGUGUGUCCGGAACUGGUGGGUUCUUGGUCUCCCUGACUUCAAGAAUGAAGCCACGGACC
rnacentral:lncRNA from 1 species